UAAAGUAUAUUUGAUCCUCAACACUAAACCUAAACCCUUAAACCCUAAACAUAAAUCCUACACCCUAAACUAAAAAUCCAAAACCCUAAAACCGAAACCCAAAACCCUAAACCCUAAACCCUAAACUCUUAACCCUAACCCUUAAACCUAAACCCAAAACCAUAGUCCCCAAACUUUAUAACCAAAAUCCUACUUUAGCUUCUGGAAGCUGGUUGCGGUUCUAGUUCUUAUGCUCAACGAUACACAAAGCAUCUAGUAAUAUUUGGCUAUAAAUCCGCUAAUAAAGCCACUUCUUGAUUCUCAAAGCUUUGAUGGUGAAGUCAAAGAUCUUAUGAGUUUUUAGUCUUGAAUCGUAUAACAAGGAAGCACUACUUUACUUUUCGGGAUCUCGUUGAGGUUAUAGUUUUAUAUAUUCAAUCAUACACAUGAUAUC
rnacentral:sRNA from 1 species